ensembl:lncRNA
GUUUUUUUUAUCUUUGUGUGUGAAUGGUUGUUUUUUUCUUAUGUGCACCUCAGUUUGCACGCUCAGCAAAAGGUGAACUUGUUUAAAGUUGGAUAUUUUUAAGCGCUCACAAUAUUGAAAUCCAGUGAAGUACAAACGUAUCUAGUGUACAGUAACUUCAGAAUACACAUUUUGCUGGCUUACCAUUUAAUUGCUGAGUAAUUAAGUUGAAGCCAUCAGGGUGCACCUUCGGCUUCCCUGGAAGAGGAAGAAAAAAACAUUUUCACUGAUUAAAAGAUCAAAAUCUUAGGAAGCCUGUUUCCACCACUGAAAAACAAAACAAAACUUUUUUUUUCAUUCAUAAGUCCAAACUUUCAACUCACUAAUGCAAACUUCUGAGAAAAUAUCUCGAAAUUUUUCAUUUUUAAUUAGAAAUGUAAAUAGUAAAUCAAAAUUUUGACUCAUGGAUGUAAUUUUGGUUUCUUCAGUUGUGGCUUCAUAAAAUGAGUGAUUUCUCUUGUUUGAUUGUUUUUUUGUCUCUUACUGCACAAACGCCUUUUCUUGUAGAUUUGUCCGAUCACACUCGUUACUAUGCUCAGCAACACCAAACACAGCAGAGCCAGCCAGACCACUCUGAGCGCACACUGCCACUCAUCUGGAAAACAGAGGAACAUUUUGGACAGUCUGAAACAAUAAUGUAUAAUUUUCAUUAUUGAACUCUUUACCUAAAGAAAAAAAAUCAUCCUAGUCCUUCCAGCACUAAAAUUCAUGCCAUGUGAAAAUAAAAUACAUGAAAAUGUAGAGUGGAUGAAGGAAGAAAAGAAGGAAGGACAAGAAGGCAAGAGACCAGUAAGGAAACAAGGCUGAAAAGAGAUAAAAGACAUGGAAGAAGCAACAUAAAUAAUAAGAGGAAGUGAACAAACAAGAACAAAGAAAGGGAAAAGCAUAAAUGGAAAGGUCUGGUGGAGGUGCUGCAGAAAAAUUGCAAAGGAAAUGGAUAUCCAGCUUUCAUUAUGCGCUUUGGAAAAUAUUACUUAAUCAAUGCCUUAAGCAUGAGGGACUUUUGGAGAGCAGAGCAGAAAGAAAGAAAGCCAAAAUCAAUACAGGCUUAGAGAUACAGUAAAUUAAGAUGUACUGUAGUCUUGGAAAGUAUGAGUGAUCAUGUAGUACAGAGGAAGAGGGAGAAACAAAAUCACCAAGUCAGGAGAAGAACUGAAGGAAAUUUGUUCUAUUGAAAAGAAUGGCUCCAUUGUGGACUGAGAGAGUGGGCAGCUUGGAAUGAAAUGAAAACUGAUUGGCCAAUUUCCUUGUCUCCUAUUGUCUCCUCUUUCCUCUUAUCUCCUUUCCAUCUUACAGUGAAGCCACGCUGGCCGCGUGGGGAUCAAAGAAGCCCAGCUCCAUCCUCGUGACACCAACCUUUUUGUGUCCGUUUCCAUGGCAGCUUUUCCUUUGCUGUUGAAUUCCAAACCGUUUGAUUGGCGAACCAAAGGAGACAGCGGCUUUGAUUGGCCGAUUCAGAGUUGGGCAGGAGAGGGAGACAGCAGUAGAAUGCCUUCCUCUGUCCUUCAUCACCACCCUUCUCUUCCUCCUCCUCCUCAGGUGGGUAGAGGUGUAAGGAACUCUGAUUGCUGCGGCCGUACAAGGUGAGAUUCAGGGUCUCUGCGUUGGGCAGACGAAGCUCAGCUGACACCUCCAGACGUGACUCGUAAGCUGUGGGUGGAUAAAUAGCAUGAAUGUACUGACUGGAGCGUAAAAGGCUUAUAUUGUCUGCUGAAGAACACAUCGCAGCGCAAGCAGCUCUUUGAGGCGGUAAUCAUGCACAGUUGUCCUCAGAGUGAAAUAACACCAGCCUGCUAA